CUCCCGCUCGCCGCCUUCCGCGCUAUGGCGGGAGCCGCUGCUCUGCCGGCCCCGGGGCCACCGGAGCCACCGGAGCCCCCAGGCUGACGAGGGGGAGGCCUGGCCGACUCCCGCCCGGCCUUUCCGGAAGAGAAGCUCCUUUCCCUGCGCUUCGGAGGGGAGGCCGGCCGGCCUGCCUCCCCGCGCCCCCGUGGCCUGCCUCCACCGCGGCGGGUUAGCCUGAAUUAGGAAAAAUUCAGAAUGAAAAGUUCUGAAAAAUGAAAAACUGGAUGACGCCGGUGGAAGCGAAACUAACAAAAAGAAGACGCACUCUGGAGGUGCCUCCAUAAAUGUGCAGUCAGUGUUGAAGACCUACAAGUGUACCUAAGCGAAAAAUAGAAGACAGAAAGCUGCUAUUAUUUUACUGUCCUUAAAGUAAAUUUUGAGUUCUGGAACAGGGAGAAAAACUGCCUACUCUGAGGUCACCACUGAUGACCUUGCCAAAUAUAGUGACCUCUAUAAUAUUCUUCAACCUUCCAGCUGCCUUCAACACCAGACCACCCCCUUCUGGAACCAUCUAACUUUGGCUUCACAAGAGAGAGCAAGAGGGAUAAAUCCAGUUGCUGCUAAGAAGUGUCUAACCAGUUAUUUAACUCACCUAUUAAUAUUUGAUUAGGUUUUCUUGACUAUUUUGGCAAUAAAGCAUUAAAAUUCUCAGGUGGUCUUAUGCCUUAGAUUUAAAGAAAAGGUAUCUCAAAAUUCGGAGUUUGGUUAGAUUGUUGAAUUUGUUGGUAGUUGGAUCCUGGAACAUCAAGUUAACAAUGCAUUCUAUGUUAAAAGUGGAAGAUUGGAAAAUCAUACCUUUUCUUUCUUGCUAAACUAAAAGUCCUAAACAACAGAAAUGAAACUGAACAUGCUCCAGCCAAGAUUUGAGAACACAUGCAACUAGGAGCAGCAACAGGCUCACUUUAGUGUGUGAUCUUCCCCUUCUAGGUUGUAUGCCCUUUGUGGGCAGGAAAUGUGUCUUCCAACUCUGUUAAAUUGUAGUCCCUCAAGUACUCAAAAAUAAAAUUGGAUUGAUUGUUCUGCCAGGUAUGGCUGCAGUGGACUCCAAGAGUAUGGAUGACAGUAUCUACGUGAGUCGACACGUUUGUACCAGAGGAAUAUGUUAGGCUUUCUAAAGUGCCUACUUGAAAAAGGAGUACUGGACCUAAACUUGAUAAGGAGCACAACUUGAAAUAAUUUCUGUACAAUAUGGGAUACUUGGUUUCUAUGCCUUUAUAAUGUAAAUAAAUAAUGAUUUGUGAUUUAUU